rnacentral:rRNA from 1 species
UGGGGAAUUUUGGACAAUGGGGGCAACCCUGAUCCAGCAAUGCCGCGUGUGUGAAGAAGGCCUUCGGGUUGUAAAGCACUUUUGUCCGGAAAGAAAACGCCGUGGUUAAUACCCGUGGCGGAUGACGGUACCGGAAGAAUAAGCACCGGCUAACUACGUGCCAGCAGCCGCGGUAAUACGUAGGGUGCAAGCGUUAAUCGGAAUUACUGGGCGUAAAGCGUGCGCAGGCGGUCCGCUAAGACAGAUGUGAAAUCCCCGGGCUUAACCUGGGAACUGCAUUUGUGACUGGCGGGCUAGAGUAUGGCAGAGGGGGGUAGAAUUCCACGUGUAGCAGUGAAAUGCGUAGAGAUGUGGAGGAAUACCGAUGGCGAAGGCAGCCCCCUGGGCCAAUACUGACGCUCAUGCACGAAAGCGUGGGGAGCAAACAGGAUUAGAUACCCUGUAGUCCACGCCCUAAACGAUGUCAACUAGUUGUCGGGUCUUCAUUGACUUGGUAACGUAGCUAACGCGUGAAGUUGACCGCCUGGGGAGUACGGUCGCAAGA